rnacentral:ribozyme from 1 species
GGAUUAAAAAAAAAAAAAAAGUUCCGCAAAAAAGAAAAGAAAAAAUGUGAUUUGAAAAAGGUAGAUGGGUCAUUUAUUUGCGUCUG